rnacentral:rRNA from 1 species
UACGAAGGGGGCUAGCGUUGUUCGGAUUUACUGGGCGUAAAGCGCACGUAGGCGGAUCGUUAAGUCGGGGGUGAAAUCCUGGAGCUCAACUCCAGAACUGCCUUCGAUACUGAGGAUCUUGAGUUCGGGAGAGGUGAGUGGAACUGCGAGUGUAGAGGUGAAAUUCGUAGAUAUUCGCAAGAACACCAGUGGCGAAGGCGGCUCACUGGCCCGAUACUGACGCUGAGGCACGAAAGCGUGGGGAGCAAACAGG